AUGCUUACCUGGCAGGGGAGGUACCUUGAUCACGAAGGUGGUUUUCCCAGGACAAUGGUUGUCCAUUGCACUCUGGAUGUGCUGACCCCUGUGAUUUCCUGUGGAAAAUGUGGGAAACUGGUCUGCAUCAUUUGCAGUAGUGGGGGACUGUUCGCGCCCUCCCCUG